GUUUUAUCUCCUUCCCAGCUCGGGAGAGAGGUCACCUCUGGGCCCUGAGUGUCAUGUUCACUCAUUCGCAUCCUUUUGUUUAAUAAUCAAACUCCAUCGAGAGCUGGGACCGAAGGAGGAGAAGGACAAGGAGAAGGAGAGAUGGGGAGAGACAAGUCUGACCGUGACCGACCAGGAGGAAGAUGAUGGGGGACAGACGAUGAAGAAACCUUUGAAUCUUUCAUCAAUAGCGCAUCGCUCAGGAGCGUCACUGCAGGCUCGUAUCUUUACGCGUCGACUCCGCGCACUUCUUUCAGCAGCAUCCAGGCAACGGCUGGGGACCGUUGUGUACGCUCUCACAAACACACACUCACACACACACGCACACCUUCAGGGUCUGCCCUCGCCUCGCUGCUGAUUGGUUCCGCGUCUCCGCGUGUCCCAGGAGACCAGCGCGUAACCCGACCUCCAGGUGAACAUCCAACCGAGGGACGAGAGCCUCACGGGAGGACCUGAGUGUUUACCCGAGAAGAGCAAGGAUGGAUCCGUCACGAGGGACACUACCUCCUCUCUCCUCGGCUUCUAGGACAUGAUGCUGUUAAGUAGUAGAAGAUGGUUUUAGACACGAGGCUGCAGCUGGACGGGUGCCUUGGGAAAGGAAAUCCCCAGAUAUAAUCCCCUCUAACCGGCUCCUGUGAGUUCACCCUGACCCUGGAACCUGAGUCCCACCCCAUCCACCACCACGACCACGAACACCACCACCACCACCACCACCGCCACCACCACCACCACCACCACCACCAC
ensembl:lncRNA